UAUCAAUGUUUUUCAUACAAUAUGAAAUACAUAAAUCACCUUUCUGCGUAUGCAUAAAGGAUUCUAUUCACGCAUUAUUUCUUUGGGAGUCAAAGGGUACAUUCCCUUUGAGAAGAGCUACCUCCUAGUCUCACUAGAGUUGUUCUUCUGAUUGAAGUUUAUUAUCAUAUGAGAAACUUCCUAGCACCUUUUGUCUAUUAUUAGGGCUUGAUAUAAUCCAAUUAUAUCUUGAAAUCUAUCAUUAUAGAUUUCCAUCCCAUGUAUUUAGACUAUAUCUCUCAUAUACAUUCUAUCGUUAUAGAAUGUUUAAAGUCAUAACUUUAACGAAGACAUAUUCUAUUCAUUUCCAAAAUUAAUAUAUCAUAUAUAUAUAUAUAUUCAAAUUUAGGAAUAUGAUUAACUCCCACUAAUCUUUUGUAAACAUAGUAAACAAAAGAUUCGUUUACAUCUUUAUGAGAAAUCAAACGAUUUGAUCUUUCUCUCAUAAGACGCUUAUAGCUCCCACUAGCUUGCUAAGAUCCAUGAUGGAUAGAUCUCUACAACUGACAUGUCUUGUGAUUCAUAGUUUUAGACAUAUAUAUUAUCAAGACUAUCUUAAUAAUGGUUUUGGAAACCCAUAUUAUGUCCAAACAUUGAAUCACCAUUUAGUUGUAGCUAGCAAUCUUCGAAUUAAUUGAAAACAAGACUACGUCAAAGAUGGUUUCUUCAAAGUCAACCAAUCUUAUUGAUUGUAGUCACCUUAAGCUACCAAUUAGCUGUGAAGGUUUCAUUAUUUCGGGUCAAAUGGUACUUUACCAUUUCCUUGAGUAUAUGUC
rnacentral:lncRNA from 1 species